GUUAGGGUUAGCAGAGAAGAACAAUGGAGGGUUGGGAUCCGAAUACCAAGUCGACGCUUACCCAAAUCCCUCUGUUAACGACGAAAGCCGGGCCCAGAGAUGGCGCUGCUUGGACGCAGAGGCUGAAGGAGGAGUACAAGGCAUUGAUCGCCUAUACUCAGAUGAACAAGUCAAAUGACAACGACUGGUUUAGGAUCUCAGCUGCGAAUCCAGAGGGAACACGAUGGAUCGGCAAGUGCUGGUACAUCCACAACCUUCUCAAGUACGAAUUUGAUCUUCAAUUCGAUAUUCCCGUCACGUAUCCGUCCACAGCGCCGGAGCUUGAGCUGCCGGAGCUCGAUGGAAAAACCCAGAAGAUGUACAGAGGCGGAAAGAUCUGCUUAACCAUUCAUUUCAAGCCUCUCUGGGCGAAAAAUUGUCCUAGGUUUGGAAUUGCUCACGCUCUUUGUUUGGGACUUGCACCAUGGCUUGCUGCCGAGGUUCCAAUUCUCGUCGAUUCUGGUAUGAUCAAGCACAAAGACAACACAACCUCGACCAGUGAAUCUUAGCCAGUAUACAAGCUUGUCA
rnacentral:misc_RNA from 1 species